AGUGAAGCGGCAACAGCUCAAAUUUGAAAUCUGGCUCUUUGGGCCCGAGUUGUAAUUUGUAGAGGAUGUUUCGGGUAAGAUCUAGGUCUAAGUUCCUUGGAACAGGGCGUCAUAGAGGGUGAGAAUCCCGUACGUGGCCGAGGAUCGCACCCAUGUGAAACUCCUUCGACGAGUCGAGUUGUUUGGGAAUGCAGCUCAAAAUGGGUGGUAAAUUUCAUCUAAAGCUAAAUAUUGGCCAGAGACCGAUAGCGCACAAGUAGAGUGAUCGAAAGAUGAAAAGCACUUUGAAAAGAGAGUUAAACAGUAUGUGAAAUUGUUGAAAGGGAAGCGCUUGCAACCAGACUUGUUGGGCAGGUUCAACCCCCCUUCCGGGCGGUGUACUUCCUGUCUUCAGGCCAAUAUCAGUUUGGGUGGAUGGUUAAAGGCCCCGGGAAUGUGAUACGCUUCGGUGUAUGUUAUAGCCCGGGGUGUCAUGCAUCCCUCCCGGACUGAGGAACGCGCUUCGGCUCGGAUAUUGGCGUAAUGGUUGUAAGCGACCCGUCUUGAAACACGGACCAAGGAGUCUAACAUCUAUGCGAGUGUUUGGGUGUCAAACCCAUGCGCGCAAUGAAAGUGAACGGAGGUGGGAACCUUUUAGGCGCACCAUCGACCGAUCCUGAUGUCUUCGGAUGGAUUUGAGUAAGAGCAUAGCUGUUGGGACCCGAAAGAUGGUGAACUAUGCCUGAAUAGGGUGAAGCCAGAGGAAACUCUGGUGGAGGCUCGCAGCGGUUCUGACGUGCAAAUCGAUCGUCAAAUUUGGGUAUAGGGGCGAAAGACUAAUCGAACCA
rnacentral:rRNA from 1 species